rnacentral:rRNA from 1 species
UACGGAGGGUGCAAGCGUUGUUCGGAAUUACUGGGCGUAAAGGGCGCGUAGGCGGCCACCGCAAGUAGACUGUGAAAUCUCCGGGCUUAACCCGGAAAGGUCAGCCGAUACUGCGGGGCUAGAGUGCAGAAGGGGCAACUGGAAUUCUCGGUGUAGCGGUGAAAUGCGUAGAUAUCGAGAGGAACACCUGCGGCGAAGGCGGGUUGCUGGGCUGACACUGACGCUGAGGCGCGAAAGCUAGGGGAGCGAACGGG